rnacentral:rRNA from 1 species
UACGGGGGGGGUAAGCGUUGUUCGGAAUUACUGGGCGUAAAGGGCUCGUAGGCGGCCAACUAAGUCAGACGUGAAAUCCCUCAGCUUAACUGGGGAACUGCGUCUGAUACUGGAUGGCUUGGAUUCGGGAGAGGAGUGCGGAAUUCCAGGUGUAGCGGUGAAAUGCGUAGAUAUCUGGAGGAACACCGGUGGCGAAGGCGGCAUUCUGGACCGACAUUGACGCUGAGGAGCGAAAGCCAGGGGAGCAAACGGG